rnacentral:rRNA from 1 species
GACGAACGCUGGCGGCGUGCUUAACACAUGCAAGUCGAACGGUAAGGCCCCAGCUUGCUGGGGUACACGAGUGGCGAACGGGUGAGUAACACGUGGGUGACCUGCCCCGCACUUCGGGAUAAGCCUGGGAAACUGGGUCUAAUACCGGAUAGGACCGCACCGUGAGGGUGUGGUGGAAAGUUUUUCGGUGUGGGAUGGGCCCGCGGCCUAUCAGCUUGUUGGUGGGGUAAUGGCCUACCAAGGCGGCGACGGGUAGCCGGCCUGAGAGGGUGGACGGCCACAUUGGGACUGAGACACGGCCCAGACUCCUACGGGAGGCAGCAGUGGGGAAUAUUGCACAAUGGGCGGAGGCCUGAUGCAGCGACGCCGCGUGGGGGAUGACGGCCUUCGGGUUGUAAACUCCUUUCACCAUCGACGAAGGUUUUCUGACGGUAGAUGGAGAAGAAGCACCGGCUAACUACGU